rnacentral:lncRNA from 1 species
GAGGAGCCUCUGACCAACUCAGCUUCUGAAAAAAAUCCAAACCUGUCCCUGCAGUUUCGGCUGUGCUGUUUCCGGAGUCAAGUAUUGAGGUUGAAGGAGGCUGAUUAGGCCUGGUCUGUGGCAGAAUGGUGCCCAAGCAGGGACCUCUGGACAGAGUUCUUCUGAGAUCUGUAGCUACCACGAAGCGGGACAUUCUGGAAUUUCGUCUAAAAAAAUAAAAAACAGGGGGAACUGCUACAUCCACUCCAGUAGUGACAAGCACAACAGGCCCCAAAAACCUGGGUGCUGUCCCAUGGCGAAAAGUUCACAGAAACUUAGUCUCCUAGAAUCGUGGCAUCCUGUAUAAAGAAUGCUCCAAUGUCCUUGCUUUAGUUGGUAAAUGGAGCUGUGUGCUUUCCCUUAACAUUGCUUUAUUACAAGUGCUCCUAAGGAUUGAUAUUUUGAUAUAUAGCUAAGUUAGAUUCUAGCCAGUCCUUGAUCCGACCUUGGGCAUGGAUAGCUAAGUCACUGCUCUACACAGAAAUUUACCAUUAUCUGGGAAGAAGGAAGUUUGUGACCUAAAGAGGAACCAGAGUAGAUAAUACUUAGAACUAUAGGUAGCUGAGUUACACCAUACACAAGUAUUUACAAUGGCCUAGGGGAAAGGUCGACUAGAGUAGGAACUAUGGCAAGGGCAUUAAGAUUAAGUGGACCUUACCUGGAGCUGUUUUUGAUCCCAGUUGUUAACAUUGAGAUUUACCCCAGUUGGUUCCUGCCAGUUUUUCCAUGUUUGUAUUUCUCUGUUUUGUGUAAGAAUCCAGUAACCUCUUUGUACCUUGCCCGUGUGUCACCCAACUUCCCUAUUUUCUUCUGUAUAAAAAGUUUGAUGCUCGAUUUGACAAAUUACAUUCAGAUCCAGCACACUC